CCACUACAAAAUCUAAUGAACUUACAAGCUUCCUGAUGAACUACAAGUUUGAAAAUUUUAACACCACCACAGAUCGGACAAAAUGCAAGAAAAUGUAGAGAAAGAAGUUAAAUUAUAUAUCUAUGCAAAAGUUCACGGUAAGCUAUGGUCUUGAUAUUACUGAUGUCCAUGAACGACGGUGAUCACUCAUAAUCAGGUGACCCAUAUCUGCCUAAUGACAAUAGAGAAAAAACAACAUAAAAUUUUAAACCAUAAAUUACAACAUUAAACAAAUAAUCUUAUUA